CGGAGAAACUAGUGUGUUGGCGGCGCCCCGGCUGUACCUCAGUAGCAGCGCGCUCAGCGGCUUUUGCGAGCUCGGGGAGGAGAGCAGCGGCGGCGAGGGCUGCGGAGCCUCGCGCGGGCGGCUAGGGGCCUCUGAGCGCGGCGGGUGGCGACGCCACGAGCGCAUGGAUGACUUCCCCCAUUUAAAACUGUUUCCCGGACUUCCCUGGUGGUGCAGUGGUUAAGAAUCCGCCUGCCAAUGCAGGGGACACGGGUUCGAGCCCUGGUCCGGGAAGAUCCCACAUGCCGUGGAGCAACUAAGCCCGUGUGCCACAACUGCUGAACCUGCGCUCUACAGCCUGCGAGCCACAACUACUGAAGCCUGUGCGCGCCUAGAGCCCGUACUCUGCAACAAGAGAAGCCACCGCAAUGAGAAGCCCCCACUAGCCGCAACUAGAGAAAGUCUGCGUACAGCAACGAAGACCCAAGGCAGCCCAAAAUGAACGAAUGAAUGAAUGAAUAAUAAAAUAAAAUAAAACUGUUUCCCUCCCCAUCCGCUUUUGAGGACACUGCUGGUUCUCUCUUCCUACCACUCUUACUCCAGCACUUUACAGGCCAGACCUGCCACCUGCCAUGAAUGAGUAUCUGGGCUCCCCCCACCCCCCAGCCCUGGGCUCCAUCCUAAACUCCUUUCUAUACUUUACAUGCUUUCCUCUCGGGGACCUCAGUCACUCCCAUGGCUUCAAUUACCUCUUAUGUGCUGAUAACUCACAAAAGGCACCCCAAAUCCUACCCACUCUUUGAGCACCAGACCGCUGAGUCCCACUGUCAGGCGGCUCUCUCCACCUAGACGCCUUGUUCUCCGCAGAUGUGGUGGCUUCCUGGCUUAACCUCCCAUCCCUCAGCCCUGACUCUCCAGACAUACCAAACCUUCAUUCCCUGGCAGACGCGUCAAGUCCUGUUUCACUUUUCCCCUGACUGGUCUUCAUCUGCUGAGGGAGAUCACCGUUGACUUCUGGUCCUGGAAAAUGGGGAGAGCGCAGACGUUAAGACAUGGAUACAACAUUCUAGCUCUUAAGACAACCUCCGUCUAAGACCUUCUCGACGUAAAAGAGGUCUUCUACGGGGUCUCCAGUGCUCUUGGACAGACCGGAACAGUCCACUGGCAAACAAGACUGAGUCCAGAGAGAGACGCACCUUUGGUACACUGCAAUAUUCUUUGGAACAAAACCGGGUAUUUGGUGAUCUGUUGGGUUACAAGCAAUAUACACUCUGGGAUUCCAAGCCUCCGUACGACUGAACUGCUCAUCUUCUUCUGCAAGGAAGUAAACCAAGUGUCAGGAUCUACCCAAGGGAGAAGGCUCGAGCCAAAACUGACAGUGACACAAGGCUCUGGACAACAGGGAAAUCCCCACCGUUUCACAUCGGUACCUUCACAAAGGCCUGAAAACGCUUAUCCUUGGCAUAGAGGUCUUUGAAGUAGUUUACAGACUGGUUGUGCUGCCCACAAAACUUGCCGUAUGUCUUCUUUAAGCGUUCUGCGUUCUCUCCUGAAAACUGCAGAGGAAAGAGAGCAGAGGUUAUGCCAUAACUCAGGGUGCUAAACUCCUAUUACCAUUUUGUCUAAAGUUUCCAGUCUACUUGUGAAACCCAAGAGAGCUCCCUCCAAAGAUUGAAAGAUUAAAAUGGUACAGGAGCUUUGGAAAACAGUUUAGCAGUUCCUCAAAAAGUUAAAUAUAGAGUUACCAUAGGACUCAGCAAUUCCACUCCUGGACAUAAAAACAUAUGUCCACACAAAAACCUGUAUAUGAAUGUUCACAGCAGCAUUAUUCACAACAGCCCCAGAGUGGAAAUAACCCAAGUGUUCAUCAGAGGAUAAAUGGAUAACAUAUGAAUGAAAAAAGCCAAUCACAAAGGACAACAUAUUGCUUUAUUCCAUUUAUAUAAAAUGUGCAGAAUAGGCAACCCCACAGAGAAAGUAGAUCAGUGGCUGCCUAGGGCUGGGGAAGUUGGUGGGGGUGACGAUGAUAAAAAUGCUCUACAACGGACCAUGGCGACGGCUGCACAAGAGUCACGGAUAUACUGAAAACCACUGAACUGUGCACUUUAAAUGGGAUCACAUGGCAUAUGAUUUACACUUCAAUAAAGCUGUUACAUGUAUUUAAAAAAUAAUAAACACAGAAGUAUCUAUGUAC